rnacentral:rRNA from 1 species
ACGCGACGAACCUUACCAGGUCUUGACAUCCUCUGACACUCCUAGAGAUAGGACGUUCCCCUUCGGGGGACAGAGUGACAGGUGGUGCAUGGUUGUCGUCAGCUCGUGUCGUGAGAUGUUGGGUUAAGUCCCGCAACGAGCGCAACCCUUGAUCUUAGUUGCCAGCAUUUAGUUGGGCACUCUAAGGUGACUGCCGGUGACAAACCGGAGGAAGGUGGGGAUGACGUCAAAUCAUCAUGCCCCUUAUGACCUGGGCUACACACGUGCUACAAUGGACGGUACAAACGGUUGCCAACCCGCGAGGGGGAGCUAAUCCGAUAAAACCGUUCUCAGUUCGGAUUGUAGGCUGCAACUCGCCUACAUGAAGCCGGAAUCGCUAGUAAUCGCGGAUCAGCAUGCCGCGGUGAAUACGUUCCCGGGCCUUGCACUCACCGCCCGU